rnacentral:lncRNA from 1 species
GCAUUAAUUUACCAGAGGUCGGGUCAGGCUGUCUUAACGCAGGCAGAGGGGUGUGGCAGAUCUCCAACCGCUCGGGGUCCCGUGAUUUCCAUUAAUGAAUUCGCACACUGGCGUUACCACUCAACACACCGACGAAGCAAGACGAUAGACAACAAUUAGCUAAAUCUACAUUAUUGGACAUGAUGGCUAAGUAAAAAACAUCACACCAGAAUCAAGGAUUUUGGUAUCUGCAUGAGUCCUGGAAUCAAUCCCCCAGAGAUACUGAUGGGAUCUUAACAAUGACAGUAAUUGAUGGUGUGUGAAGAAAAAAGGGAAGAUCAGGAGACUUUAACCUGUGGUAUUCCCAUGUUUAGAAGCAAAAUGGGGAACAAAAAGGAAGCGAAUAACAAUCAGAAAAAUAGGAGGAUAACAAUAGUGUAAUAUCAUGGAUGCCAAAGGAGAGUUUCAAAAAGAAGAAGGCAACCAAUAGUGUCAAAUGUUUCAGACAAUUGUAAAAAUUCAAAAAUAAAAAUAUUUAAAACUUUCAAAAUAAAAUAUCAAAAUAUCAAAAUAAAA